AUCUGGNUAGCUCAGUUGGUAAAGCAUGAGACUCUGAAUUUCAGGGUUGUGGGUUUGUGCCCCACCUUGGGCA
rnacentral:tRNA from 1 species